AGUGCACAGGGUGAAUGCCUUGGCAGUAAGAGGCGAAGAAGGACGUAGUAGUCUGCGAAAGCCACGGUUAGCUGACAAACGAGCUAUGAUCCGUGGGUAUCCGAAUGGGGAAACCCGGCGCGUGAGAGCGCGUCAUGGCAUGCUGAAUAAAUAGGUAUGUUAGGCGAACGUGGGGAAUUGAAACAUCUCAGUACCCACAGGAAAAGAAAUCAACCGAGAUUCUGGGAGUAGCGGCGAGCGAAACUGGAACAGCCCGAGCGCUGAAUGGACGUAUAUAGUAGAGGAACCACGUGGGAAAGUGGGCCGUAGAGGGUGAUAGCCCCGUACUUGAAACUAUAUAGGUACUUAGCGUUCAAAGAGUAGGGCGGGACACGUGAAAUCCUGUCUGAAUAUGGGGGGACCAUCCUCCAAGGCUAAAUACUCCUUACUGACCGAUAGUGAACUAGUACCGUGAGGGAAAGGCGAAAAGAACCCCUAUAAGGGGAGUGAAAUAGAACCUGAAACCGUGUGCAUACAAGCAAUAGGAGCUUCGCGCUUGCGCGAAGUGACUGUGUACCUUUUGUAUAAUGGGUCAGCGAGUUAUUCUCAGUAGCGAGGUUAAGCGAAUAGUGAAGCCGAAGGGAAACCGAGUCUUAAUAGGGCGAUAAGUUGCUGGGAGUAGACCCGAAACCGGGUGAUCUAUCCAUGGCCAGGAUGAAGGUUGGGUAAAACCAAGUGGAGGUCCGAACCCACUAAUGUUGCAAAAUUAGGGGAUGAGUUGUGGAUAGGGGUGAAAGGCUAAUCAAACUCGGUAAUAGCUGGUUCUCCUCGAAAACUAUUUAGGUAGUGCCUUAAGAGAUGACUUACGGGGGUAGAGCACUGUUUCGGUGAUGGGGGCAUUCGUGCCUUACUGAACCGAUGCAAACUCAGAAUACCGUAAAGUUUAACUUAGGAGACACACUGCGGGUGCUAAGGUCCGUGGUGGAAAGGGAAAGAGCCCAGACCGUCAGUUAAGGUCCCAAAGUUGUGAUUAAGUGGAAAACGAUGUAGAAAGGCAUAGACAGCCAGGAGGUUGGCUUAGAAGCAGCCAUCCUUUAAAGAAAGCGUAAUAGCUCACUGGUCGAGUCGGUCUGCGCGGAAGAUAUAACGGGGCUAAAAUCACACACCGAAGCUACGGAUUUAGAGGAUAGACUAUAGAGGAUAGAAGAUAGAUGAAAGGGAUAAGUAGAUUUGAAGACUUAAGUGUAUUCAGGAAGGCAUAUAAAGUGUCUCUUGAGAUACAUACCUUGUGUUUGAAGAUGCCGAAAGAGGAGCAGUACGGAGGUAUUGCGGACCAGUUGAGGCGGUCGAGCAAGGGGAUAUGUGCGAACAUAGCGGAAGGUUAUGGAAAGCAGCAUGUGUCGAGUAAGGAAUUUCAAAGAUAUUUAUCGAUGGCGAUAGGUUCAGCGAAUGAAGUGAGGGUAUGGUUACGAUAUGCUUUAGAUUUAGGGUAUAUUGAAGAAGUACGCUGGCUGGAGUUCAAAGAGAGUUACCUUGAGAUAGCGAAGAUGUUAUCUGGGUUGCAUCGCAGUUGGAAAUGAAGGAUUCAUCUAUGUUCUGUUUUUUAUAGUCUAUCCUCUAGAUGGUAGAGGAGCGUUCUGUACGCCUGAGAAGGUGAAUCGAGAGGUUUGCUGGAGGUAUCAGAAGUGCGAAUGCUGACAUAAGUAACGAAAAUGCGGGUGAGAUUCCCGCACGCUGGAAGUCCAAGGGUUCCUGCGCAAUGUUGAUCAGCGCAGGGUGAGUCGGUUCCUAAGGCGAGGCUGAGAGGCGUAGUCGAUGGGAAACAGGUUAAUAUUCCUGUACUUUUUGUUAAUUCGAAGCAGGGACGGAGAAGGCUAGGUUUGCCAGGCGAAUGGUUGUCCUGGUGAAAGCAUGUAGGCGUUUCCCAAUAGUUAAGUACGUUGGGGGUAGCUGAGGUGCGAGAGGAGUUUUCCUUAGGGAAGACGAAGGAACUGAUGCCACGCUUCCGGGAAAAGCUGCUAAGGUUAGUUAACAAGGAACCGUACCCCAAACCGACACUGGUGGACAGGUAGAGAAUACUAAGGCGUUGAGAGAACUCAGGUGAAGGAACUAGGCAAAAUGGUACCGUAACUUCGGGAGAAGGUACGCUCUUGCUGGUGAAGAGAUUUACUCUUGGAGCUGGUGGGAGUUGCAAAUACUAGGUGGCUGCGACUGUUUAACAAAAACACAGCACUCUGCAAACACGAAAGUGGACGUAUAGGGUGUGACGCCUGCCCGGUGCCGGAAGGUUAAUUGAUGCGGUGCAAGCUGCUGAUCGAAGCCCCGGUAAACGGCGGCCGUAACUAUAACGGUCCUAAGGUAGCGAAAUUCCUUGUCGGGUAAGUUCCGACCUGCACGAAUGGCGUAACGAUGGCCACGCUGUCUCCACCUGAGACUCAGUGAAAUUGAAAUUGCAGUGAAGAUGCUGCAUACCCGCGGCUAGACGGAAAGACCCCGUGAACCUUUACUAUAACUUUACACUGGACUUUGAUUAUUGUUGUGUAGGAUAGGUGGGAGGCUAUGAAACUUGAUCGCUAGAUUGAGUGGAGCCGACCUUGAAAUACCACCCUAUAAUGAGCGAAGUUCUAACUUAGGCCUGUAAUCCAGGUUGAGGACAGUGUAUGGUGGGUAGUUUGACUGGGGCGGUCUCCUCCUAAAGAGUAACGGAGGAGUGCGAAGGUACCCUGGGUGUGGUUGGAAAUCACACUAACAGUGCAAAGGCAUAAGGGUGCUUAACUGCGAGAGCGACGGUUCGAGCAGGUACGAAAGUAGGUCUUAGUGAUCCGGUGGUUCUGAAUGGAAGGGCCAUCGCUCAACGGAUAAAAGGUACUCCGGGGAUAACAGGCUGAUACCGCCCAAGAGUUCAUAUCGACGGCGGUGUUUGGCACCUCGAUGUCGGCUCAUCACAUCCUGGGGCUGUAGCAGGUCCCAAGGGUAUGGCUGUUCGCCAUUUAAAGUGGUACGCGAGCUGGGUUCAGAACGUCGUGAGACAGUUCGGUCCCUAUCUACCGUGGGCGUAGGAUAUUUGAGAGAAGCUGCUCCUAGUACGAGAGGACCGGAGUGGACAUACCGCUGGUGUAUGGGUUGUGAUGCCAAUUGCAUUGCCCAGUAGCUAAGUAUGGAAGGGAUAACCGCUGAAAGCAUCUAAGCGGGAAGCCUGGCUCAAGAUGAGAUAUCCCCAGAGCAAUCUGUAAGGCACGUUGAAGACUACGACGUUGAUAGGCUAGGUGUGUAAGCGCUGCGAGGCGUUGAGCUAACUAGUACUAAUAUGCUGAAGUUUUGGAU
rnacentral:rRNA from 1 species